rnacentral:rRNA from 1 species
UACGGAGGGUGCAAGCGUUUAAUCGGAAUUACUGGGCGUAAAGCGCGCGUAGGCGGCUCGGUCAGUCGGGUGUGAAAUCCCUGGGCUCAACCUGGGAACUGCAUUCGAUACUGCCGAGCUAGAGUGUGGGAGAGGGUAGUGGAAUUCCCGGUGUAGCGGUGAAAUGCGUAGAUAUCGGGAGGAACAUCAGUGGCGAAGGCGACUGCCUGGCCCAACACUGACGCUG